rnacentral:rRNA from 1 species
AGUGAACGCUGGCGGUAGGCCUAACACAUGCAAGUCGAACGGCAGCACAGUAAGAGCUUGCUCUUACGGGUGGCGAGUGGCGGACGGGUGAGGAAUACAUCGGAAUCUACUUUUUCGUGGGGGAUAACGUAGGGAAACUUACGCUAAUACCGCAUACGACCUACGGGUGAAAGCAGGGGAUCUUCGGACCUUGCGCGAUUGAAUGAGCCGAUGUCGGAUUAGCUAGUUGGCGGGGUAAAGGCCCACCAAGGCGACGAUCCGUAGCUGGUCUGAGAGGAUGAUCAGCCACACUGGAACUGAGACACGGUCCAGACUCCUACGGGAGGCAGCAGUGGGGAAUAUUGGACAAUGGGCGCAAGCCUGAUCCAGCCAUACCGCGUGGGUGAUGAAGGCCUUCGGGUUGUAAAGCCCUUUUGUUGGGAAAGAAAAGCGGCAGGUUAAUACCCCGCUGUUCUGACGGUACCCAAAGAAUAAGCACCGGCUAACUUCGUG